GUAGUCUCGCACAGAUGCAUAUCAAUAAGCGGAGGAAAAGAAACUAACAAGGAUUCCCUUAGUAACGGCGAGUGAAGCGGGAAGAGCUCAAAUUUGAAAUCUUCAAGGGUUUACCUUUACGAAUUGUAGUUUAAAGAAGUGUUUUCUGUUGAGGUUUUGGUAAAAGUUCUUUGGAAUAGGACAUCAUAGAGGGUGAGAAUCCCGUAUUUGACCAUUACUUUCAACUUUGUGAUACACUUUCAAAGAGUCGGAUUGUUUGGGAAUGCAGUCCGAAAUGGGUGGUAAAUUUCAUCUAAAGCUAAAUAUUGGCGAGAGACCGAUAGCGAACAAGUACCGUGAGGGAAAGAUGAAAAGAACUUUGAAAAGAGAGUUAAACAGUACGUGAAAUUGUCAAAAGGGAAGCGUUUGACACCAGUGUUGUUUUUCUGAAAAUCAAUUAAAGAACUGUUUAUGCUAAGUUGUUUAGACUUUAUCAGCUAACUGUUUAGUUUUGAGCUUUUCUUUAAUGCACUUUUCAGUUAACAAGUCAACAUCAAUUUCUUUUGCUGUAAAAAAGCUUGAGGAAGGUGGCUUGAGAUACGUCUUAAGUGUUUAUAGCCUCUUGCCUAUGCAGUCGGAGAGAUUGAGGUCUGCAGCGUAGAUCCUUCGGGGCUAAAUGCAUUUGUGCUAAGUUAAAGCUUUUUAUAGACAACUUGUUGACUAUGAUUAGUCUUGUAGCUUACUCGCUUAUGCUAUUUUACCUACGCUUAGGAUGUUGAGCGCAUGUCUCUCUCU
rnacentral:rRNA from 1 species